rnacentral:lncRNA from 1 species
GUUGAGACGUGGGGUUGGGGUGGCUGGGUUUGGAGGGCUGAGUAUAUUUUCUACAUGAAAAUAAUUUUAGUAAUUUGUGGCCAAAGGACAAGUUAAAAUAGUUUUUAAAUAUGUCUACGAAUCAUUCAACAUUCUCCCUUUCAAAAAGUGGAGACUAAUUCAUCUCCCCUUGAGCUUAGACUGGACUUGGUGACUUGGGGCUAAUAGAAUAUUGUUGAAAUGGCAGUGUGUGACUUCUGAAACUAGGUCAUAAAAGGCAUUGCAGCUUCCUUCUUGCUUUCUCUUAGACCACUCUCUCUAGAAGAAUCUAACUGCCGUGUCAUGAGGAUGCUCAAGCAGCUCUCUGGAGAGGUCCAUGUGGUCUAUGUGGAGAGGGAUUGAUUCACUCUGCCCACAGACAUGUGGGAAGAUUGGCCCUGAGCUAACAUCCAUGCUCAUCUUGGUCUAUUUUAUAUUUGGGACACCUGCCACAGCAUGGCUUGAUAAGUGAUGUGUACGUCUGCACCCAGGAUCCGAACCAGCAAACCCCAGACCGCCAAAGCGUAAUGUGCGAACUUAACCACUGCAGCCGGGCUGGCCCCUUGACUGUAAUCUUUUGAGGAAGAUUAGCCCUGAGCUAACAUCUGCCACCAAUCCUCCUCUUUUUGCUGAGGAAGCCUGGCCCUGAGCUAACAUCUGUGCCCAUCUUCCUCUACUUUGUAUGUGGGACGCCCGCCACAGCACGGCUUGACAAGCGGUGCGUAGGUCCACACCUGGGAUCUGAGCUGGUGAACCCCAGGCUGCGGAAGUGGAAAGUGCAAACUUAACUGCUGCACCACCGGGCUGGCCUGACUGUAAUCUUUUAAGAGACCCUGAGACCAGAACCAUCCAGCUAAGCCACAACCAAAUUCAUGGCACAUAAAAUCUGUGAGACAAUAAAUACUUGUUGUUUCGAACUACUAAUUUCAGAGAUAAUUUGUUACACAGCAAUACAUAACUAAUAUAGGUAUAAACUAUUCUGUUCUUCUCUCCCUUGCCUUUUCUGUAAUUAAUAACAAUGCUGCAACAAACUUCUUCGUGUGUACAUCUUUAUGUGCUCAAUAUAUUAUUUCUGUAGCAUAAAUUCUUAAAAUUGGAAUUUCUGGCUAUGCACAUUUUAAAUUUAGAUGGAUAUUGUCAAAUUACCUCCCCAAAAUAAUUGUAGCAAUUUACACCCUCCCAAACAGUGGAUGGUGCCUUUAUAUCUUUGACAAUUUUAAAUGUUAUUAGUCUUUCUAAUUUUUCUUAAUCCUACGAGAGAAAGUAUCUGAUAUUUUUAUUAAUCUGUAUUUCUUAACUUUUGGUAAAGGAGAGCAUCUUUUUGUAUGUUUAUGGCUUGAAAAAGCACCUUGCUAAUUUCAGGUAAAAUUCUCCUCACGUGCUCUUGUCCCUUGAUCUUUCCUCUUCUACAAUGCCUAGCAUUUAGUUCACAUUACAUAAAUAUGCAGUUUUUUGAUUGGAUGAACGAUGGAAUAAAUGAAAUUCAGAUAUGCAGAAAGUCUUCAUUUAACCCCAUGGGACUGACUUUUAAUUGGGAGAAAAAUACCUUAGCAACCAAUUAAUUUAAUUAUUUUUCACUUCCCCUUUAUCACUAUUCAAUUAUCAUUCAAAUGUUCUCUGACUAAGCUCUUUAUGACUUGUUCGGGCUAAUCUGUUUCUCAAAGUGACUAUACU